rnacentral:rRNA from 1 species
CCCUUAGAUGUUCUGGGCCGCACGCGCGCUACACUGACGAAUGCAACGAGCUUAUAACCUUGGCCGAAAGGUCUGGGUAAUCUCCAAAUUUCGUCGUGAUGGGGAUAGAUUAUUGCAAUUAUUAAUCUUCAACGAGGAAUGCCUAGUAAGCGCAAGUCAUCAGCUUGCGUUGAUUACGUCCCUGCCCUUUGUACCCACCGCCCGUCGCUCCUACCGAUUGAAUGGUCCGGUGAAGCGCUCGGACCGCGGCCUCUUGACGGUUCGCUGUCGAUUGGCUGUGGGAAGUUCGUUAAACCUUAUCAUUUAGAGGAAGGAGAAGUCGUAACA